AUGAAGGCGAACGGCAGCAAGAGCAUGUCGGCGCACCUGACGUGUAACAUGGCGCCCAGCCGCGGCGCCGGCGCCGUCGACGACGGCCCGCCGCAGCCGCAGACGGCCACCUGCUGCACGGCGCUGCAGCGGGGCUUCCCGGCGGACGGGAAGCCGACGCAGUCGCGGUUCGCCCCCGUGAGGACGCCCGGCUCGGCGGCCAUGAUGCUGCACGCCGACGACAACGGCCCUAUAGAGGAGGAGGAGCCGGAGGAAGGGGAGGGGCAGCAUCAGCAGCAGAAGCAGAUGCAGAAGCAGGCCACAACGCCGACCAAGAGGGCGGCGGCGGCGACCAAGACGAUGAUCAAGAAGAUGGUGCGCAAGUGCAAGUCGUCGGUGGCGGACGUGGACGUGGCGCGGCUCGGCGACGCGGCCCCGCAGACGCCGCGUCUCCGGCGCAGCGGCGCCAUCCGCCGGGAAUGGAGCUUCGAGGACCUCCACGGCGGCAACAACGCCGCCUAA
rnacentral:rRNA from 1 species